rnacentral:tRNA from 3 species
GCCCGGGUAGCUCAGUUGGUAGAGCAGCGGAUUGAAAAUCCGCGUGUCACUGGUUCGAUUCCGGUUCCGGGCACCA